UCGAGAAUUUUUCUCAAUGGGCGAAAGCCUGAAGGAGCGACGCCGCGUGGGGGAUGAAUGGCUUCGGCCCGUAAACCCCUGUCAUUUGCGAACAAACCUCGUGAUUUAACAGAUGACGAGCUGAUUGUAGCGAAAGAGGAAGGGACGGCUAACUCUGUGCCAGCAGCCGCGGUAAUACAGAGGUCCCAAGCGUUGUUCGGAUUCACUGGGCGUAAAGGGUGCGUAGGUGGUUGGGUAAGUCUGAUGUGAAAUCUCCGGGCCUAACCCGGAAACUGCAUCGGAUACUAUUCGACUGGAGGGUUGGAGGGGGGACUGGAAUACUUGGUGUAGCAGUGAAAUGCGUAGAUAUCAAGUGGAACACCAGUGGCGAAGGCGAGUCCCUGGACAACUCCUGACACUGAGGCACGAAAGCUAGGGGAGCAAACAGGAUUAGAUACCCAUGUAGUCCCUGAGCGGGCUGGCAAGGCGCAU
rnacentral:rRNA from 1 species